GGUGUAGCGGUGAAAUGCUUAGAUAUCACACAGAACACCGAUUGCGAAGGCAGCACACUAAGUCAUUAUUGACGCUGAGGCACGAAAGUGUGGGGAUCAAACAGGAUUAGAUACCCUGGUAGUCCACACUGUAAACGAUGAUAACUCGCUGUCGGCGAUACACAGUCGGUGGCCAAGCGAAAGCAUUAAGUUAUCCACCUGGGGAGUACGACCGCAAGGUUGAAACUCAAAGGAAUUGACGGGGGCCCGCACAAGCGGAGGAACAUGUGGUUUAAUUCGAUGAUACGCGAGGAACCUUACCCGGGCUCGAACGGUGCAUGAAUAUACGAGAGAUUGUAUAGUCCUUCGGGACAUGUAUCGAGGUGCUGCAUGGUUGUCGUCAGCUCGUGCCGUGAGGUGUCGGCUUAAGUGCCAUAACGAGCGCAACCCUUGUCAUUAGUUGCCAUCAGGUCAAGCUGGGGACUUUAAUGAGACUGCCACCGUAAGGUGUGAGGAAGGGGGGGAUGACGUCAAAUCAGCACGGCCCUUAUGUCCGGGGCGACACACGUGUUACAAUGGGAGGUACAGAGGGCAGCUAUCCGGUGACGGAAUGCUAAUCUCCAAAACCUUUCUCAGUUCGGAUUGGAGUCUGCAACUCGACUCCAUGAAGGUGGAUUCGCUAGUAAUCGCGCAUCAGCCAUGGCGCGGUGAAUACGUUCCCGGGCCUUGUACACACCGCCCGUCAAGCCAUGGAAGCUUGGGGUGCCUGAAGUUCGUGACCGCAAGGAGCGACCUAAGGCAAAACAGGUAAACUGGGGCUAAGUCGUAACAAGGUAACCGAAAGGGCAAUUCGUANCUCG
rnacentral:rRNA from 1 species